rnacentral:rRNA from 1 species
CACGUAGGGUGCGAGCGUUGUCCGGAAUUAUUGGGCGUAAAGAGCUCGUAGGCGGUCUGUCGCGUCGGCUGUGAAAACUCGGGGCUCAACUCCGAGCUUGCAGUCGAUACGGGCAGGCUAGAGUUCGGCAGGGGAGACUGGAAUUCCUGGUGUAGCGGUGAAAUGCGCAGAUAUCAGGAGGAACACCGGUGGCGAAGGCGGGUCUCUGGGCCGAUACUGACGCUGAGGAGCGAAAGCGUGGGGAGCAAACAGG